rnacentral:rRNA from 1 species
AUUGAACGCUGGCGGCAUGCUUUACACAUGCAAGUCGAACGGCAGCGCGGACUUCGGUCUGGCGGCGAGUGGCGAACGGGUGAGUAAUAUAUCGGAACGUACCCAAGAGUGGGGGAUAACGUAGCGAAAGUUACGCUAAUACCGCAUACGAUCUAAGGAUGAAAGCAGGGGAUCGCAAGACCUUGUGCUCCUGGAGCGGCCGAUGUCUGAUUAGCUAGUUGGUGAGGUAAAGGCUCACCAAGGCAACGAUCAGUAGCUGGUCUGAGAGGACGACCAGCCACACUGGAACUGAGACACGGUCCAGACUCCUACGGGAGGCAGCAGUGGGGAAUUUUGGACAAUGGGGGCAACCCUGAUCCAGCAAUGCCGCGUGAGUGAAGAAGGCCUUCGGGUUGUAAAGCUCUUUUGUCAGGGAAGAAAAGGCUGUGGCUAAUAUCCACAGCUGCUGACGGUACCUGAAGAAUAAGCACCGGCUAACUACGUGCCAGCCGCCGCCGUAA